UACGAAGGGAGCUAGCGUUGAUCGGAAUUACUGGGCGUAAAGCGCACGUAGGCGGACUGUUAAGUCAGGGGUGAAAUCCCGGGGCUCAACCUCGGAAUUGCCUCUGAUACUGGCAGUCUAGAGUUCGGGAGAGGUUGGUGGAAUUCCUAGUGUAGAGGUGAAAUUCGUAGAUAUUAGGAAGAACACCAGUGGCGAAGGCGGCCAACUGGCCCGAUACUGACGCUGAGGUGCGAAAGCGUGGGGAGCAAACAGG
rnacentral:rRNA from 1 species